CCCUAUUUUCUAGAUUACAACUAGAACUAACUAGAACUAGAACUAGAUGAACUAGAACUAGAACUAGAUGAACUAGAACUAGAUCUAGAUGAACUAGAGGUAGAACUAGAAGAACUAGAGGAAUCCUCUCUACUUGAUGAAGAAUUGAAACCCUAGCUUUGAUUCUGUAGAAGAGGUAUGAUCUCCAGGGGACAGGGGGGUCUGGUUUUAUAGUCCCUUCAAGUGAAUCUGGGUCGUCGGAUCAAACCGACAUUGAUCGUGUGGUUUUCCUUGAAGUAUUAGGUCGGUGGAGCAUGAUCCCCGAGUUGUACCCUGAUUGGGCAGAACAGGUGGGCGGGCGCCCUCAGGACUAGGGCGGGCGCCCUGUCCCUGAGGCCUCUCGUCUUCCGCUUUGUUCCCGUGGCUUCUGGAGUCUUCUAGAUGAUAGAAAAUUGCGCGGCACGUUAAUAUCUCUAUGUAAACCCGACGUGUGGGCCUUUCUUCCAUAUUUCCUGAUAACCCCCUGCAGAAAUAGACAAACACCAAAACUUGUGGAAUUCUGUCAGAUAAAACCCUAAGUCUAGGUGUUGGUUGCAUUUGGAUCCUUUUCUAUGAUUAAUUGAUGGUUAAAUAUGAGCAUUAAGGACCGUCAACAAGCUCCCCCAAGCUUAACCUUUGCUCGUCCCUGAGCAAAGAUGAACUCAAGAGUUUCUGCAGUGGUUUCAUGCCUUAAAGAUACACAUGCGUUUAAACAAGAUCUUAUAUCUGGUUAGAGUAAACUGUUAAGACUUAAAACUUACUCAUUUACCUUUCACCAUGGGACUUGUAACCGUCACUUCUGUCUUGAGUAGUUAAAAGAUAGAACAGUCUAGUCAAGCACCAUGUCUCUUGUUCUUCGAUUAACUAUAGCUCUGGAGUUUUUGCAGAUUUUCAAAUAAAACACAGAGAUUCCUUGUAUGACUCUCUCUAGUCUCUCUUUUGUGGUAUUUCUGGAUCCUUACCAAGGCAGUAUGGUAUACGCCUUCUCUCAAAAUCUGUAGUAUUUAUGGUAUGAAGCAUAGUUGCAUUGCCUUCUCUCUCACCCUACUCUAAUAAGGCUUUAAUAUCUGGAGCUCAUAGGUGGGAGAUAAAGUAUACAUACUUACAAGACAUGUAUUGUAUAGUCAAACCAUGGAUCCAGAAGAACAAGUCAAUAAGUCAAAUCAAGAUGUGCAUGUGUGGCGAAUGAAUGGUGUAAGGUGAUGAUGGUGAUAACAAUGGUGAAUGUCUAAUUCUACUUUUGCUCUUUUGAGGGGAUACAUACCUUUCUUGCUCUUUUGAAACUUUUUGAGGAGAAUGAGAUGCUCUAUAUUUUCUUUUUCUUUUCUCUCAGGUGGGUAUCUUGUACCCCUAAUUCUACUGUCGGACACUUGUCCAUUUUUACCUCUCGUCUCACUUUUUUCUUUUUUUUUCUUCGAGGUUCCGGGCACUUGCCCCUUUUUAUUUCCUCGUAUUCUUUAUUUUUUUCUUUUUUUUAGAGCACUCAUCCUCCUAGAAUAAUGUGGCAAGUGGUAGUAACCAAGAUAACUCGAGCAUGUAUUUCACAGGGAAUAACAGGGAUAGGAAAAUAUUUUUGGCUAUUCUCUCCCGGAUUAGGAGUAGAAUAAUUUUGGGUGAAUCUGGAGAUGGAAAUGAGUGGGUAUAUGUGGAUGGUACUUCCGGAGUAGAAGUAGCAUGUAUGAGUGAACGUGCAAGUGAAUCUUGAUUUUAACCACAUGACAAGCUCCUAAGGGUCUACACAGCUUGACCACACUCAAUGCUCAUAAGCAGUAAAAAGUAAAUGUGUGGCUCAAAGUCUAGCAAGCAUGUAUAUAUGGCUGUGGUAGGAAUUUAAACUCUCAUCAUAAAGGAACUCAUCAUGCAACAUUUUAAAGAUUUUCAAAGAUAAAAUUUUCCAGAAUUCUAGCAUCUCUAGGAACAGAUAAACAGUAGCUCAACCUUCCCAUAUCGUAUCCGUUAACGACUUAGACUUUAGAUGAAGUACUCUUCCCACAAGUUCAGGUUUAGAGCAAAUCUUAAUUAAUAACAGUCAUGUCUAAACUUGAGAGAGAUUUCAAUUUUGAGAACUAGUCAUGGCAGAGCAACUAUUCAUCAUUUCCAUGUGAGAGCUUAUCACGAGGGUUUAUUGCAAACUUUGUUUAUUUAUUUAGCAAACUAAGCAAAGAUAUAUAUAUGUAAGCACAAAAUCAUUAUUUGGGUUUUUAUGAUUAUGCAUCUUUUUAUUAUUAGAGUAAAGUAUAAACAUGAGUAGAAUACUUAGCUGGAUAAAUGGGGGUGCUCUCCCCCAAGCUGGAUUUUGACGUAAUUUCUUCUGAUGUAACUAGCAGGUGGCGGAGGUGUAUUUGAAUGUCGGCAGCACCCUGACAGCGAUUAGGAUGUCCUCCGUCUGCUAGUCUUCUUGAAUUCUGUGGAGCUCAAAUAGACAACAAAGCUUUGUGGAACUAGUUAAGUGUUAGCAUAAAUAUCUAGCCUUUAUCAUGUUGAGCCUCCUUAUAAAUGUUACACUCUUUAGUAGGAUCACAAUCUUAUUUUUAUAAUUUUAUUUUUAUAGGACAGAAAUAUAUUUAUUUUAUUUUUAUGCCACCACAGUGAAUGUACUUAUGGGUUUUAUGCCAUGAGCAUACUCACAUGGGGCUUACUAUUUUUAACAUUUUUAUUUUCUUUUCAAGAUGAUAUGAACCUGAUUAACUAAGCAAACUAUUUUAAAUAAUUGAAAGGAAAAAGAUAACUACCAAGUUUACCUCUUGGCAAGGCGUUCGGUGUUUUUAAGUCCUCCGAACGAGACUUUCUGUUUUCUCGGUCGUCUUGGGAUUCAUAGGAUGGCGUAGUCGGUGGUUCCGGCGGUGCCUGCUCUUGAUAUAUAACUAUCUUCUCUCUACACACCUGACUCGGUGCUACGGUCUCCUCAGGACAGUUCUGUUCAAGCUGUAUGUCUUCAGACCUUACUACUUCUCCUUCGUAGUCUGCCCAUCCGUCUUUGAUGAUUUGCCUCCUCUGGUUGCGGUUGCGCUGUCUCCUUCUUGUCCCGACCUGCUUAGAGUCUUCAACUAUAUAGUUAGGGUCAAAAAUAGCGGCAUACCUUCUCAGAGGGGAAGUGCAUGUGGACUUCCAAUGUAGAUGAUUGCCUUAACGGUGCUGAGGAAUGGUCGUCUAUGGAUGAUGGGUGAAUCGUACUCGUCUUCAACCUUUCGGAAUGUCUGAUCUCCCAUCUGGAGCUGAAUGUAUGUAGGUUUUAGUGGCAUGGUUCCGAACAGGAGUUGAUAGGUGACUGCGACCAUUAUGUUGACGCCUGACCCGGUGUCGCAAAGCAUCUUCUGGAAGUUGUAUCCAUUAAUGGAGCACUGGAUGCUUGGCAUGCCUGGGUCGUCCUUUUUGGUUAGGAACGGUGACUUAAAUAGAUGAUCUUGUCCUCCUUGAACUGCAGUGACCAUCUUAGCUGACUCGGUCCACACUUGCUUGUUCCUGUUCCUCCUGUUGGUCCUCUUCCUUGGUUCAUGUCGAGAAUGCUCUGAGAUUUGUGUAGUCUUGUUCUUGAAGGAAAACGUCUCCUUCCUCCCCUUGAUGUAGAAACUGAUCCUGGCAGCACUAGCGUAGAUGGUAGCUCCCGAGGUGUUCAGGAAUGGCCUCCCUAGGAUGAUGGGUGCCCUCUCAUCAGUAUCAGUCUCUAUCACCACGAAGUCUGCUGGAGCGUAUAAGGUACCAACUCAGACGUAGAGGUUCUUCAAUAUUCCCUUUGGGAAACUUAGUGUCUGAUCUGCAAGCUGCAAACACAUGGUUGUUUCUGAUAAAGGAUGUGUAAAGAAUUUUUCAUAGAGUACCCUGGGCAUAAUGUUGACGCUGGAGCCAAAGUCGCAGAGUGCUUCUAGAAAGUCCACCAUGCCGAUGGAGAUCGGGAUGACGGGGCGUCCUGGAUUGUCUCUCUUGACCGGCAGAAGGUCAGUAAUUACUUCCACGGGUUACUCCAGUAGUUAUGUCCUCAAGCAUCUCAGGGCAGUGAUUGCCUGAGUGUCCAGUCUCUCCAGUGUGUUUGUGCUCGUAGAUCUAGGUUCUUCACUUGGUGGAGUCUGGGAGUUGUAAAACUCCUUCAUAUGCUGCUCGAAGUGUAUCUGCUCAUAAAGACAAGGCAGAGAUCAAGUGCAUGGGCUCUGUUGGUGGAAAACACCAACAGAACCAAAAGUGUAUUUAUUCUUCUAUAUCCUUAAGCAUAGUGAGCAAGGCAAAGUUGAUGGAUAAUAAGAUCAUGAGUGUAGCAUUUAAAACAUUUGUCAGAUCAGAUCGCUCAACCUAAUGGAAAGAUAAUCUAUCUAUAUUUAUGUUUUUUUUAUAUAUAUCUUCCAAAGAUUGAGUGUGCACAUUUUAGUUCAUAUGAUUAGGAGUGUGGGAUCACAAAGGUGGAAGGAUUAAACAUGUUGAAUCGAUUGGAUUGGUUAAUCUAGAGUUGUAGAUCAUACAUGUUUGUCUCUUUUAUUCAUGUGAACGCCAGAAAUAAGGAGAAGCUUAUAACAGUGAUAGUCACAUACCUUAAGAUGUUACCUUACUUGAAGAGUGAUGGUACAGUAUCACCUUGUGGAAGCUUUCCUUUCUUAGCGGUUGUGCAUCGUGUUUGUGGCACCCUCCAUGGAUCAUCUCUUGUGAGCUAUGCCUUCCUCGUGCAAAUUGUUAAACUUCAUGUGUCUCUCUCUUUGUCUCCAAUGUGAGUUUAUCUCAGGACUUCCCAGGUCGAUAUUGAAAGUUUUCCUGCAGGGGUUAGUCCAACAAAAUAUCCAAUAUCUACUAUAGCAUACUAUCAGCUCAAAGAUCAACCUAGACACCAUGUCUAAUUUGAUUUAGGAGGGAAUUUUAACCUAAGCAUCAUGCUUAAUUUAAAAUCCCUUGGAAGUAAGAUCAACAUUCCUAACUAAGCACCAUGCUUAAUUAAGAGAUAAAUGAAACUACUCCAAACCUAAACAUAUACUAAAGCAAAUAAAGGUAGCAUGAGAGCAUUUAUAGAGAUCUACUCAAGUAGAGAUGAAGUAGUGUGAUUAGUAUUUAACAAAUUGAGCAUGUUUCAAAGGUAGGGACAACCAACAUAGCAACAUGGCGAAUGAUGAUUUUAUGUAAAGUAUUCCCCCAAGCUUGAAUUUUGCAAAAUUCAAGUUUGGAUGAAUUUAAUUCAAUGUUGUAUGAUGAUUGGUUGGACAUACCUUGUGCUUGUCAUUCAUCCGAUCUUCUUGCUCCAACCCUGGAAAGGUUAGUGACAAGAGUACCCGAAGGAAUAUUUUUACAAUUAUCCUUAUAUGCUCAACACACAAGGUAAUGUUGCAAAUAAUUAAAAGCUCAUGUUACAAUCUGAUCAGGACACUAAGCUUGUCCUUUGGGAAACCAUCAAUUUAUGUCGGCGAAGUGGUUUCCCCUCCAACGCUGACCUAUAUCAAGAUCAACUCAACGAGAUCUGCAAAAUUUAUUAUAGACAUAUGCAUCGACAACCGCCCUUUUAAAGUUUUUAUAAAUAGAAAGGAAGUGGGGGUUGGAGAUCUCGAAUGUGGUGAUGUUGGAGGGACCAAUGGAUUGUGAAGAUGUUGCAUAUGAGCAUGGAGUAAAUGAAGUGGCUAUGAAAUAAAUUCCAUGCUCAUUAAUGCUUAGAGUGAAAUCCAUGUGGUGUGGUGAGAAUGGUAAGGUGAGUGUGGUAUAAAAGGAACAGAAAAAGGAUACACGGACGACUUGGUUCGAAACUAGCACAGCUACCGUUCCCCGGCAACGGCGCCAGAAAGCUUGUUGGGUAUUUUAAACGCAAACAGAAAAAUCCGCAAGCGCACGGAUACCGAUGUAGCUUUCACCCGGGAAUAUUCCAGAGUAUCGAUUUUCCACAGAGAACGUGAGUGUACUAAUUAAGAUCCAAGAUCGCCCAAGGAUAACUAUAUAAUUAUUUUUGGUGGGAAGAGAGGAAGUUUCCUGAGAGUUCUCUAGUUGAUCUAAGAAUCAAGAAUUACUUCAAGAUUAUCUAUUUCGGGAGAUCGGAACACUAACCACAGAAAGAGAUGAGAAGGGAGUUAGGAAGCUCCGACUACGGUCCUACAAACACCGAUCCGAACGUGGUGGAAUACGUCGACCGUUAGGGCUGUCACUACCCUAAGGCUACCACAACAAUCCGCAGGAUUGGGUGCAAUUCCAGGUAAUUGCAAGACUAAACACCACGUCUAAUCUAUUAAUUACUACUCUAAUGUUUCAAAGAUUAGAGCACUUGUUGCAAGCGGGAAUCCAAUAAAUAACUUGAAUGUAAAUAAAAGUAAUUAGAGAACUCAGGAGUUAUGAGUUGAAGAACCUGGAGAACGAUGAAGAACGAACCAGAUGCUGCAAAAGUACAAUGUUGAGGAAGAUCCGACAGAUCCGGCUCCUCCUCCGCUCUCCUCUUCUCUCUCCCUAUUUUCUAGAUUACAACUAGAACUAACUAGAACUAGAACUAGAGGAACUAGAACUAGAACUAGAUGAACUAGAACUAGAUCUAGAUGAACUAGAGGUAGAACUAGAAGAACUAGAGGGAUCCUCUCUACCUGGAUGAAGAAUUGAAACCCUAGCUUUGAUUUUGUAGAAGAGGUAUGAUCUCCAGGGGCCAGGGGGGGUCUGGUUUUAUAGUCCCUUCAAGUGAAUCUGGGUCGUCGGAUCAAACCGACAUUGAUCGUGUGGUUUUCCUUGAAGUAUUAGGUCGGUGGAGCAUGAUCCCCGAGUUGUACCCUGAUUGGGCAGAACAGGUGGGCGGGCGCCCUCAGGACUAGGGCGGGCGCCCUGUCCCUGAGGCCUCUCGUCUUCCGCUUUGUUCCCGUGGCUUCUGGAGUCUUCUAGAUGAUAGAAAAUUGCGCGGCACGUUAAUAUCUCUAAGUAAACCCGACGUGUGGGCCUUUCUUCCAUAUUUCCUGAUAACCCCCUGCAGAAAUAGACAAACACCAAAACUUGUGGAAUUCUGUCAGAUAAAACCCUAAGUCUAGGUGUUGGUUGCAUUUGGAUCCUUUUCUAUGAUUAAUUGAUGGUUAACUAUGAGCAUUAAGGACCGUCAACACCAGGGUGGUUGGAACAGUCGGCACCCUGCCCUGCUGCGGUAUGGGAGUCAUCGCGCUUGUCACUUCGUGGGUACGGGCACCGUAUGGUGGAAGUCUUGUUGACCUGGUGGAGCGGGGUCCGGCGCCUGAGCCCAGGAGGGAUCGGGUGAGACGGAACUUGCGUCCGAGACCCUGAGGGGUCGGGCGAGUCGGAACUUGCGUCCGAGGCCCUGAGGGGUCGGGCGAGUCGGAACUUACGUCCGAGGCCCUAAGGGGUCAAAUGAGCUGGGGACCGUGCCCCGGUGAUUCUGGUUAAUAUGCUCUGUUUUUUGCGUUUUUUAUUAUUCUGAUUUGGGUAUCCCUUUUUAUGGUACCCAACAGUAGCCCCCGAGCCUCUGAAGGGGUGAGGUCACCUCUUCAGAGGUUCUUUUUCCAAGGGACUAAUGUUGACUGAGAGCUUUUUUACUUUUUUCCGGAGGGUGCGCGCGAGCGCACCCGCCGGGUGUAGCCCCCGAGCCUUUUGGAGGAAUGGUGUUAUUCCUUCAAAGGCUUUUACCCCUGAUAGUUAAAGUUUGGAGUAUUUUGAGGGGUAGGUUGCGUGUUCUUUGCACGUAGUGCCUGUUCCCAUGGUGCGAGGGAGCCCCCGAGUCCUUUCCCCACAAGGGUCGAUCAGGUUCUUUCUCGUCUUGUAAUUACGUCCCUCAUUCUUCCUUUCGCUCGGAGGAGGGGUGGGUCGUGCCAUACUACCCUCGAUGGGCGAGUGACGACGCUUCCCGAGAGCUGCAGGCGGGUAGAUCCAAGUGGAUGUCCGAAUUCCGUUCGAUAGGGGUCGGCUAGUGGCCCUAUGGGCACAUCUCAAAAUACCUGAGGGAAGUCACGGUGGAUGUCGGAACCGUUCGCUAGGUUCUGAUGGCUCGAUGCCUCCCUCGAUGGGAUCCGACUCACACGACACUCCCGUAUGGGUCUCGGACACGACUGGCAAAGAUGCGCCGAUCAUCUAGUGGGGUCGGACCAUGGCCUCUAUUGUGCUCAUCCUCAGUCAUCCCUCGCUCGGUUAUCCUGAGGUGACUGUUCGAACCUAAUUUGUGGGUCAGUCUCGCAACCUCUGGAACGUAGGCGGCCAUGGCCUGGGGAUUCUUGGCCUCCAAAGGCUUUUUUGAACUUGUUUGUAGUGUCGCGGUCGGUCGGGACGGAAUCUGCGCCCGUCGGGAACCGGCUUGCGAUUUUAGCUCGGGGUUAGUAUGGGGGUCGGGCGAGACAUAGACUGCGUCCGACGGAGACCUCCCUGCAACCUUGGUCAGCGGGGGGUCGAGCGCCGCUUGCCUUGGAAGGAACCGCCCUGACAUGAUUUUUCAAGGCACACCUUUUGAGGCGCGGCGCGUGGGGACUCGAAACGGCCGUGCCGAUUCGCCCUGGCUGGAUGGGACGCUUCGCCUGCGAAAUAAAUGCGCGCGUGCGACGGUCGUGGGAAUCAGAGGGAGUUGGUGCUUCGAGUUUUUCACCUGGUGGGGAGUGGGCGACGGUUGCUCUCCUUCCCGCUUGGCCUUCUGCGCGGGCGGUGUGGUUGUGGCGCGCUCCUUCUAUAAAAAGCAGCCGCAGGGGACUUGGUUUCUUUCCUCUCGCUCCUGCGCCAAAAAGCUCUUGCCUCCUGCCUUUUCUUCUGCCGCCAUCUUCUCCACUUCCGCCGCGUAGACGUCCUUCUCCACCCUCAGCCAUGGCCGGCGUUGAGGCGUGGCCUCCCUGCAAUGUGACCAAGUCCGCGCUGGAGGCGCGUGUGAAGGCCGGGCUUCUCCGUCCUCUCAAGGAUGUCGAGUUCCCGGAGUGGAUCGUUCCUUCGGCGAACGACAGGGAGCCAAACCCGCCACCGGGCUAUGUGGUUUGCUUCCUGUCGUUCUUAGACCGAGGGUUUGGGAUUCCGGCCGGUCGUCUGAUCAGGGCGAUCCUCCACUAGUACGAGGUGGAGCUGCACAACCUGAACCCCAACUCGGUGAUGCAGGCCGCCGUCUUCGCCACGGUCUGUGAGGGGUUCCUGGGGGUUCCUGUCAAUUGGAACCUCUGGCUUCACCUCUUCAAGGCGGAGAUGUCGGCCCGUUACGUGGGGAAGGAAAAGUUCCCCCUGCGAGUCGGCGGCUGCACGCUGCAGCUUUGUCAGCAACGGGCCGGGCUAUACAUCUGGAGCUCGAUGCCCUCGUCAAACCGGGGGUGGCAGAAUGGGUGGUUCUACCUCCGGAAUGACGGCGGUCUGCUGCCGAAGUACACUGGGAAGAUGGUGACGGAGGCCCCCCAGAAGUGGGCGUGGGGCGCUCCGUCCGAGGAGCAGAAGAAGUUCGCCCCGCUUCUUGCGGGGCUUCAGAAGCUGCGGGAUGCCCAGGUUACUGCGGCCACGGUGGCAAUAGCGUUCCACAAGAGGAGCCUGCUUCCGCUGGCGUAGCGUUGGGUGCUCAUGUUUGAGAUGACUCGGGACGUCCCCUGGUCUGGGACGAGGAUGCUAGCCGAGCCGGUAUCGGCGUCGGAUAUCACCACCCGGGUCGAGAAGACCACGCACUCGGAGUUGAAGAACUCCCGGGUGGUGCCGAUGCGCCCUGAAAAGGGCUACAUUUCCCUGGUAAGAAAGUGUCUUUUGUUUCGAUUUCUUGUACCUGUUUUUUCUUUUGCCUGACUCCCCGUUUAUCUGCUUGCUUCGCAGGGGAUGGGGGCCGUCAGGGAUUCCCUACCCCCAGUCCCUGAGGACAAGGAGAUCCGGGCCAAGAACAGGGCCCAGAACGAGGAACAAAAAAAGGCCAAGGAAGACAAGAAGGCCAAAGCGGCGCGAAAAGCGCAACGGCGGGAGAUCUCCGCCAAGAAUCACCGUGAAGCCGAGAAGGCGGGGGUCGCCCUGCCUCCCUCUCUCGAGACCUCGGUCUCGGAGAUAGAGGGAGGGGGCUGUAACGCCGACUGGCUUGACGAGCUGAUGGAGGAGGAUGACAUAGUCCCCCCUGCAAGCGGAGGAACUGAGAUCCCAGAGGGGUCGAAGGCCCGGGUGGGGUCGGAGGCCCCUGAGGUGACCCAGGCGCCGGAGGCCAGACAGACAGUCCCCCACAUCAUCGUGGAUGACGAGGACAGCGCGCCUCGGGAGGGUUCAGCGCCCGCAGGUCCCCAGGAGGGGGAGAGGGCGUCUGGGGGCGAAUCCGAGGCGCCCCUCCAACCGGUGGUGCCAGAGGGUGUAGCCGAACCUCGCCCAGCGCCUAGGGCGGGAACCGGCGUCUUGGUGGAGGCGAUGCAUACUGAGACCACCGUUGUAGCCCCCGCGCCGUUAGCGGACGAGACGGGGGUUCAGCCAGCGGCCCCUGGCGAUUCGGGAGGCUCCCAAGGAGCUCCGAGCUCCCAGAAGAAUGCUGCUCCCCGAGCGAGGUAUGUAUAGGAUUUCCGAUCCUUUCACUGAUUUUUUGUUUUUCUCUUUCUUCUGAUUUGGUGUUGCUCCCCCAGCCGUAAGCUAAAGGCGCCUUCGGUGGCGCUGGCCCCCUGAAGGCUGUGAAGAGGGGGGCUCAGUCGACUCCCGGGUCGGCUAGGCCCGUGUCGCCGCCACCUCCGAGCUGCGAGGUGGGAGAGCGCCACCAGGGGCAGGACACGGGGGGCGCCGAAGCCCCAAAGACCAGAGGAGACGGCCCUUGCCCCCAGGGCUGCGCCUCCUCUGGAGGAUGCUGAUUUGGGAGGUGCGGUCCGACCUGCGCAUGCUGUGGAAGGCCGAGCCAUCGUGGCGUCCAGUGCGGCGCCUGAGGCACCCACGGCGAGAGGGGAGGGCGAUGCCCGAUAGGGUAAGAGCCCCGUAUUCUGGCCCAACCUCGAUGGUGCAGAGGGAGGGGCUAGGUUCGUUCUGGACGACCCGUCGGAGAAUUAUAUCUGGCAGGGUCUAGACGCAUGCGGGCGUGCCAGCAUCGAGGCCAUCAACCGAGCUUCUCAGCUCGUGAGCCGAGACAUGUUCAAUUUGGCCCAGGUAAGGCUUCCUCCCACGUCGAAGUAUUUUUUUGCUAUGUUUUGCGAUACUGACUCCCUGCACGACUUCUGACUCUGCAGGCGCUCAAGGCCACAUCCCUGGAGAAGUCAGUUUUUCUCCGCCGGGAAAGGGAUGCCUGGGCGACUUAUGAGAACGAGAGGGCUGCCAGGGAGGCAGCUGAGGGGGAGCUCGCGAAGGAGUGCGAGAUUUCUACCGAGCUUCGGCAGAAGUGCUCGGCACUGGCCACCGAGGCUCAGGAGGCCCGGGACAAGGUCGCCCCCCUAGAGGAGAGGAUUGGGGUCCUUACCCAGGAAUCCGAGGUGCAGAAGGCGGCGGCUGAUAGGUAUAAGGGUGAGGUGGCUCGGCUUGAGGCUUUGCUCGCCGAAAAAGACCUUGCCUUGAACCAGACUCAGGCCGACCUUGCUGCCGCCCAGAGUCAGGUGGCCCGCUGGCACCGGAGCUCGGCGGAGCAUGAGAAGCGAGCUGAGGGUAAGACUUGCGCCUUCCACUUUGGCCCCCUUUGUACUUUGAGUUAGUCUUCCUGACUUUUUGUUUCUUGUUCUGCUUUUCAACAGAGUUGGAGAGGAAGGUGGUCGAGGCGACCUCUACUGCCGCGGCCCUGCAGGAGUCCCUUGACGCCGAGGCUUUGGACCGCUCGGCUCUUGAAGCCACGGUCACCUCGGCGUGUGAGUGGCUCGGGGUGUCGGUGUCGGGAUCGUCGCUACGGAGUCGGGUCGAAGCCCUUUACUCCUGGGCCGGGGAGAGGAUGAGGGAGGCGCUCCACGCCGGGGUGAAGAAAGCCCUGGCGGUGGUGAGCUCUCACUAUGCCGGCAUUGACUUGCCGGCGGUCUGUGAGGGCUACGUUCUCCCAGAUGAUGAGACGGAGGCCCAGGAGGAGGUGCGGAGGCUUAAAGACGCCGCGGCUGCCCCCGGAGAUGCCUUGGCCGCCUUCUUCGACGAUGAGGUGGAGCUUCCCCCCUUGGGGCUCAAGGACCUGGGCAGACAGGGCAGCAGGACCCUUAGAUUUCUUUUUUCUUUGUGUGGGUAUUAAGGCUAGUGGGCCUUGUAUUAUAUAUACAAUGUUAAUGUCGAAUGUGGAUGUUUGUAUAACUGCUCUUUUUUAGGCUUUUUUUCCUAAGUGUGUUAUUUUCUUUUUCCUUAUGCCGAUCCGACCUCGGCAGCGCGAGGUCGGGUGAGCUACUUAGAGUUUUGCGCUAGCCAGAGUCCCCGAGCCUAAGUCUUUUUCCUUUUUCCUUAGUGACUUUUAGAAGUCCGAAUCCGUCCCCCGAAUCUAAGGUGAGUAGAGGCGGUCUUUGCUCGUGAGCGCAGAUCUUUCCUCGGGCUCAUGCCUUAAGAUUUAGGGUAUGAGUUUUUGGUUUCUUAAAUCUUUCUAGGAGAGAGGAGGAAGACCUUGGGUCGGGGUUCCUUUGACUUGAGUCGCCACAGGGGGUUCCCCCCUUGUUAGCCCCCGAGGGAGGCUCGGAGUCUGCUAGGCAGGUCCGAGUCUCUCUGAUAAGAAAAAAGGCCAUAUAAUUUGAACUUUCAUUUAUUCUUCCAAGGUGACGAAUAAACGAAGAAAUUUUUACAAAGUCCUAAGGGUAGAAGCGACGUAGCUGUUUUAUGUUCCAUGCAUUUUUGAAGACCUCCCCUGCCUCGUUGGCGAGCUUGUAGGUGCCGGGUCGGAGGACUUCAGCGAUGACGAAGGGUCCUUCCUAGGGGGGUGUAAACUUGUGACGACCCUUGUUGCUUUGUCUGAGCCUUAGCACCAAGUCGCCGACUUGAAAGGCUCGACCUCGGAUUCGUCGCGCAUGGUAUCGGCGGAGGGCCUGCUGGUACUUGGCGGAGUGUAGGAGGGCUACGUCUCUGGCUUCAUCCAGCUGGUCUAGCGCGUCUUCUUGGAAUGUUUUGCAGCUGUUCUCGUCGUAGGUUUGUAUCCUUGGGGAUCCGUACUCCAGAUCAGUGGGGAGGACGGCCUCCGACCCAUAGACCAUGAAGAACGGGGUGAAGCCUAUGGCUCGGCUUCGGGAGGUUCUCAGACUCCAGACCACGGCCGGUAGCUCUUUGAGCCAUCUUUUUCCAAACUUGUUCAGACAGUUGAAGAUCCUGGGCUUCAGACCCUGGAGGAUCAUGCCAUUGGCACGUUCCACCUGACCAUUGGUCUUGGGGUGAGCCACUGCUGCCCAGUCCACACGUAUGUGGUGUCUGUCGCAGAAUUGCAGGAACUUUCGUCCGGUGAACUGUGUGCCGUUAUCGGUGAUUAUGGAGUUUGGUACUCCAAAUCGAUGGAUGAUAUCUGUGAAGAACAGCACUGCUUGUUCGACCUUGAUCCUUGUGAUGGGUCGGACUUCGAUCCACUUGGAGAACUUGUCGAUUGCGACAAGCAAGUGGGUGAAGCCCCCAGGCGCUUUUUGCAAAGGCCCGACCAGGUUGAGGCCCCAGACGGCAAAAGGCUAGGUGAUGGGGAUUGUAUGCAGAGCCUGAGCGGGGAGAUGAAUCUUCCGAGCGUAAAACUGGCAUCCCUCACAGGUCCGCACGAUCUCAGUGGCGUCGGCCACAGCUGUGGGCCAGUAGAAGCCUUGUCGGAAGGCAUUUCCUACCAGCGUCCAAGGCGCGACAUGGUGGCCACAAGCCCCCGAGUGUACGUCCUGCAGGAGCUUGAUUCCCUCCUGUCGUGGGAUGCAACGCAUAAGGACGCCCGAGGGGCUGCGCUUAUACAUCUCCCCGUCAAGGAGGACAAAGGUCUUGGCGCGACGUGCCACGCGCCUUGCCUCAGCCAGGUCUGGGGGCAAAGUGCCGUCGACGAGGCGUUGAAGCAAGGGGUAGCGCCAGUCAGGCGAGUCGUCAGACGCAGGUGGUUCUGGUUCGAUGUCCAUGGCCUCCUGCUCUAUAGCGGCGGAAUCCCUGGGGUCGGAACUUGGUUCGUUCGGGAGUUCGUCCGACCCCCCAUCGCCCUUGUAGUCGACGGAAGGCUUGUAGAGGUCGCUGACAAAAACAUCCGGGGGGACUGUGGCCCGCUCGGAUGCCAUCUUGGCAAGCGCGUCGGCGGCCUCAUUAUAUUUCCUUAACACGUGGUUGAGUUCGAGGCCGUCGAACUUUUCCUCCAGGCAUCGGACCGCUUUGCAGUACGCGUCCAUUUUGGGAUCGUGGCAGCUAGACUCCUUCAUGACUUGGUCGAUGAUGAGUCUAGAAUCACCUCGGACUUCGAGCCGUUUGAUCCCGAGCUCGAUUGCGAUGUGGAGUCCAUUGACGAGAGCCUCGUACUCGGCUGUGUUGUUUGAGGCGGUGAAAUGGAGUCGGAUCGUAUACCGCAUCUUUACCCCGAGGGGUGAGAUGAAAACGAGGCCCGCGCCGGCCCCGGUUUUCAUUAAAGACCCGUCGAAGUACAAGGUCCAGCACUCGUGCUGGAUCUGUGGUGGGGGGAGCUGACUCCCGGUCCAUUCUGCCACGAAAUCCGCCAGUACUUGGGAUUUUAUGGCCUUCCGAGGCUCGUAGGUGAUUCCAUCACCCAUGAGCUCUAUGGCCCACUUAGCAAUUCUUCCGUUGGCCUCUGGGUUCUGAAUUACUUCUCCCAGGGGGAAAGAUGAUAUCACCGAGACUGGAUGAGACUCAGAGUAAUGGCGGAGCUUGCGCCGGGUCAAAACUACAGCGUAGAGUAGUUUUUGGAUCUGGGGGUAUCGGGUCUUUGUGUCGGAUAGAACUUCGCUGACGAAGUACAUCGGUCUUUGGACCGGCAGGGUGUGCCCUUUUUCCUUCCUUUCGACCACGACAGCCGCACUGGCCACCUGAUCGGUAGCUGCGACAUAGAGAAGAAGUGGUUCCCCCUCGGCGGGGGGCACCAGGAUGGGAGGGUUUGUGAGCAGAGCCUUGAGCUUGUCGAGGGCUUCCUGGGCCUCGGGGGUCCAGGAAAAAUGCUCGGAUUUCCUUAAUAACCUAUACAGAGGUAGCCCUUUUUCCCCGAGACGAGAGAUAAAACGGCUUAGGGAGGCUAGACAUCCCAUGACCCUCUGUACUCCCUUUAGGUUGCGAAUCUGGCCCAUGUUUGCGAUGGCCGAAACUUUUUCUGGAUUGGCCUCGAUCCCUCGCUCGGACACGAUAAACCCGAGGAGCAUGCCUCGGGGGACCCCAAAAACACAUUUUUCGGGGUUGAGCCUGAUCCCCUUUGCCCUGAGGCAUUGGAACGUUUCUUCCAGGUCGGCAACCAGGCCGCUUGCUUUCCUGGACUUGACGACAAUGUUGUCUACGUAAGCUUCCACUGUUUUGCCUAUAAGGUUCCCAAAGACCUGGAGCAUACAUCGUUGAUAUGUAGCCCCUGCGUUCUUGAGGCCGAAAGGCAUGGUUACGUAGCAAUACAUUCCAAAAGGGGUGAUGAAAGAAGUCGCGAGCUGGUCGGACUCUUUCAUCUUGAUUUGGUGGUAACCGGAAUAUGCAUCAAGAAAAGAUAAAAUUUCGCAUCCCGCAGUGGAGUCAACUAUCUGAUCAAUACGAGAUAAUGGAAAGGGGUUUUUUGGACAUGCUUUAUUUAAACUAGUAUAGUCUACACACAUCCUCCACUUCCCAUUUUUCUUUUUGACUAGUACGAGAUUAGCUAACCACUCAGGAUGGAAUACCUCCUUGAUGAAUCCGGCCGCCAGCAGCUUGUGGAUCUCUUCCCCGAUGGCCCGACGCUUCUCCUCGUCAAAUCGGCGCAGGCGUUGCUUCACGGGCUUGGAGCCGGCUCGGAUGUCCAAGGAGUGCUCGGCGACUUCCCUCGGUAUGCCAGACAUGUCCGAGGGGCUCCACGCAAAUAUGUCAGCGUUUGCGCGGAGAAAGUCGACGAGCACCACUUCCUAUUUGGGGUCGAGGCUAGAGCUAAUCCUCAAUGCCCUGCCCUCAGAGGUUCCGGGGUCGAGGAAGACUAGCUUGGUUUCCUCCGUCGGCUCGAAGCUCCCGGCGUGACGCUUGGGGUCGGGGACGUCCUGGUCGUAGUCGCCGAGGCCGGUAAGGAUGGCCAGAGACUCAGCCAGAGCCUCGGCUUGCUCAAUGCACUCGAUGUCGCACUGAUAAGCGUGCUGACUGGUUGUGCUGACUGUGAUGAUGCCCUUUGGCCCCGUCAUCUUGAGCUUGAGAUAGGUGUAGUGGGGACGGCCAUGAACUUGGCGUAGCAUGGUCAUCCCAGGAUUGCGUGGUAGGUCCCUGGGAAUCCGACCACAUUGAAAGUGAGGACCUCCCUCCUGAAGUUGUCAGGGGUUCCGAAGCAAACGGACAGAUCGAUCUGUCCGAGAGGAUGGGCACGAUGUCCCGGCACCACUCCAUGGAAUGGUGCUGUGUCGUUCCUUAGCGGGGACUUACUGAUCCCCAUGAGGGCCAGAGUCUCGGCAUAAAGGAUGUUGAGGCCGCUGCCUCCGUCCAUCAGCACCUUGGUGAGACGGGUCUCGACGAUGAUUGGGUCGACGAUCAGAGGAUAGCUCCCGGGGUUGGGGAUCCGAUCCGGGUGAUCCUGUCGGUCGAACGUGAUUGCGCUCUCGGACCACUUAAGGUACGAGGGCAUGGCCGCGGUGACUGCGCAAACCUCUCGGAGUUCUCGCUUCCUCUGACUCGCAGUGAGGCGAGCCGCACGUCCCCCAAAGAUCAAGAGACAGUUCUUGAUUUUGGGAAAACCUUCUACCUGAGGGUCGUCGUCCUUGGGGGGCUCUUCAGCGCUUUCCUUGGUGAUGAUGUUGGUGUAGUACCGACAGAGGACAGUGCAUUCCUCAAGGGUGUGUUGGGUAUUCUUAACAUCAUUACCAAAAGUAGACUAAGUUCUCUAAAUCUAGUAACGGUGCCAAAAAUGCCAAACCUAUCCCUCACACCACUUAAGCCAAGUUGUCAUCCCCAGCAUGACAUGAGAGAUGCGGUAUUGAAAUAUGCAAUUGCUCUUCUAAAUAAAUAAUGAAUGGGAUCUGCAAGCGCACAGAUUAAUACCGAUGCAGCAUUUUAACCGGGGAAGUAUUCCAGGUAUCGUUAUUUAUAUUUUUACCACUGGGAAGGGAUUAGCAAUCAUCACUAUUGAUUACAGAAUAGAAUAUGAGAUUGAGCAUCUAUCAUUGCAUGUAUAAUUGAGAACAUUAUAUCUAACUCAUCAUACAGGGAUAAGUGUCACAUAAAAGAUAUAUGAAAUAAUAAUAGUGAAAAGGAUAACUAAUCUGAUCUAGCCACAUAAUAAAUAUGAUAAGCACCUCAAUUAGAUACUCUAGAAAGUCAUUAGCAUGGUAUUAGAACGAACUACAAGAAUAUUCCCUAAGUUAUUCUUAACUAUAUAGUCUAGCAUUAUCAUAAUUAGUGCAAGCAUACUUAGCAAUCAUUGCGAGACAAGACUACGCCCAUGCAUAGUGAUAUUAGCAAAGAAUAUGAGAAACAUAGCAAUCACUCCCCUGUAAUAAUGUUGCUCUGCCAGCCCAAUACACGAGAGGGGGACUAUAUAAGAAUCAAUGAAGCUGUCACUAUCACGAACCACUCCACGAUCUGGCAUAUUGGGUACAAUCGUAGAUAAAUACGGUAUAAGCACCACGCCUACACAAUAUCUAUCAUUUACCCAUGGAUCUGAUGGAUAAACGCUAUACGAUCCUAAGCAUGUAUAUAGAUCGAAUCUAACUAAGCCAAGUACAUAACUAUGAUAAACUAAGAACAAUAUAAUCUUGAAUAUAAGCAAGUAGAGCAAAGUCAUAAGCAAUAUAUUGAAGUAGAACAAAGUCAUAUUCAUAAUAUUGAAGAACAAAGAUAAUUAGAAAGCAAUUAGAAACACAAUUAGAGAAUUACCAAGAAUCCUCUUGACAGAUCCGGAAACCAAUCGAAGAUUGACUCCUUCUAGUUCUAAUCCUAUGUAGCUAUGCUAAUCUAGAUGUCUAAUUGAUGUGGUGGCUCUAAUCUUGAUCAGAGGCUUCUUCUCCCUUGAUGGAACAAUGAAUUAGGGUUGAGAGGCUCUCUCCUCCAGGGGCCAGGGGGUCUGGUUUUAUAGUCCCUUCAAGUGAAUAUGGGCCAUUGGAUCAAACCGACAUAGAUUGUAUGGUUUAGAUUCAUCCUUUAGGUCGGUGGAGAUCUCCCACAAAACAGAGUCCUGAUUGGACAUAGGAGGUGGGCGGGCGCCCAGGGCAGGAGGGCGGGCGCCCUGCCUCUGGCCCUGUUUCGCCUCCGCUUCGGUCUCGUGGCUUCUGGAGUCUUCUAGAUGUAAGAUAAUUGCGCAGCACGUUAAUAUCUUUACGUAAUCCCGACGUGUGGGCCUUUCUUCCGUAUUUCCUGAUAACCCCCUGCAGAAAUAGACAAACACCAAAACUUGUGGAAUUCUGUCAGAUAAAACCCUAAGUCUGGAUGUUGAUUUCAUUUGGAUCCUUUUCUUUAUUUAUUUGAUAAUUAAAUUUGAUACUUAAGGACCGUCAACAAACUCCCCCAAGCUUACCUCUUGCUCGUCCCUGAGCAAGGAUAGACUCAGCUAUGGAUCAUAAAUAGUUGCAAUAUUUAAAAAUUCACGGUACACAUGCUUUUUAAAUAAGAUCUCAUCUCUGAGUUAGAGUAAACUGUCAAGACUUAAAACUUACUUACUUUACCUUCACCAUGGGACUUGUAACCGUCACUUCUAUCUUGAGUAGUUUAAAGAUAGAACAGUCUAGCCAAGUGCCAUGUCUCUUAUUCUUGAUCAGCUAUAACUCUGGGGUUUUUUGCAGAUUUUCAAAUAAAACUCAGAAAUUCCUUGUAUGAUUCUCUCAGGUCUCUCUUUUGUGGUAUUUUUGGAUCCUUACCAAGGCAGUGAUGGUAUAUGCCUUCUCUCAAGAUAUGUAGUAUUUGUGGUAUAAGGCACAGUGACAUUGCCUUCUCUCUCACCCUACUCUAAUAAGGCUUUAAUAUCUGGAGCUCAUAGGUGGGAGAUAAAGUAUACAUACUUACAAGACAUGUAUUGCAUAGUCAAACCAUGGAUCCAAAGUAACAAGUCAAUAAGUCAAAUCAAGAUGUGCAUGUGUGGCGAAUGAAUGAUGUAUGGUGAUGAUGGUGAUAACAAUGGUGGAAACAAUGGUGGUGGAAGUCUAAUUCUACUUUUGCUCUUUGAGGGGAUACAUACCUUCCUUGCUUUUGAAACUUUAUGAGGAGAAUGAGAUGCUCUUCUUCUUUUUUUUCUUUUCUCUCAGGUGGGUAUCUUGCACCCCUAAUUCUACUGUCGGACACUUGUCCAUUUUUACCUCUCGUCUCACUUUUUCUUUUUUUUCGAGGUUCCGAGCACUUGCUCCUUUUUAUUUCCUCGUAUUUUUUUUAGAGCACUCAUCUCUUGAGAUAAUAUAGCAAGUGGUAGUAACAAGAUAACUUGAGCAUUUAUUUCACAAGGGAAAACAGAAAUAUUUUUGGUUAUUCUCUCCCGGAUUAGGAGUAGAAUAUUUUUGGGUGAUUCUGGAGAUGGAAUGGGUGGAUAUAUGUGGAUGGUACUUCCGGAGUAGAAGUAGCAUAUAUGAGUGAACGUGCAAGUGAAAUCUUGAUUUAACCACAUGACAAGUUCCUAAGGGUCUACACAGCUUGACCACACUCAAUGCUCAUAAGCAGUAAAUAGUAAAUGUGUGGCUCAAAGUCUAGCAAGCAUGUAUGGCUGUGGUAGGAAUUUAAACUCUCAUCAUACAGGAACUCGUCAUGCAACAUUUUAAAAUUUUCAAAGAUAAAAUUCUCCAGAAUUCUAGCAUCUCUAGGAACAGAUAAACAGCAGCUCAACCUUCCCAUAUCGUAUCCGUUAACAACUUAAACUUCAGAUCAAGUUUUCAUCCCACAAGUUUAGGUCUAGAGCAAGCUUUAAAUUAUAACAGUUAUAUCUAAACUUGAGAGAGAACUUAAAAUUUGCAAAUUAGGCAGAGCAACUAUUUAUCAUAUCCAUGCUUAAGUUUUAUUUAGAUACAGAUUAGCAUAGCCACUUUAUUUAUUUAUUAAACACACUAAGCAAAAAGACAUAUAUAUAUAUAUAUAAGCAUAAAAUCUUUAUUU
rnacentral:lncRNA from 1 species